rnacentral:misc_RNA from 1 species
AGCCACACGAUUUGGUGGGCCGUACCAACAGCUGCUUCCAAGGCUUUCUUUUCUCGCGAUGUUAGAGAGCGAGUUUUUAGGGGGCGCCUUUGGACACUGCGUGUGCGAAUACGUGAUGCCAAGGGGUCUGGCGUUACAACCGCAUCAUUGACGAAUUCGAUGUCGAAGGUUGGUUUAUCGUCGGGCAUAGAUGCUCGGCGGGCUAUUAAGCACCGCAUUCCAUGCUCGCUCGCAGCGAUCGAGAUGUUCUCAAGAAGUGCGCCAAGCGCUAUUUGACUUGGGUGACCGUCGAAAUCGUAGACGCAGUGGCU